GAAACGACUGCUAAUACCGCAUAAGCGCACAGCUUCGCAUGAAGCAGUGUGAAAAACUCCGGUGGUACAAGAUGGACCCGCGUCUGAUUAGCUGGUUGGUGAGGUAACGGCCCACCAAGGCGACGAUCAGUAGCCGGCCUGAGAGGGUGAACGGCCACAUUGGGACUGAGACACGGCCCAAACUCCUACGGGAGGCAGCAGUGGGGAAUAUUGCACAAUGGGGGAAACCCUGAUGCAGCAACGCCGCGUGAGUGAAGAAGUAUUUCGGUAUGUAAAGCUCUAUCAGCAGGAAAGAAAAUGACGGUACCUGACUAAGAAGCCCCGGCUAACUACGUGCCAGCAGCCGCGGUAAUACGUAGGGGGCAAGCGUUAUCCGGAUUUACUGGGUGUAAAGGGAGCGUAGACGGUUUUGCAAGUCUGAAGUGAAAGCCCGGGGCUUAACCCCGGGACUGCUUUGGAAACUGUAGGACUAGAGUGCAGGAGAGGUAAGUGGAAUUCCUAGUGUAGCGGUGAAAUGCGUGGAUAUUAGGAGGAACACCAGUGGCGAAGGCGGCUUACUGGACUGUAACUGACGUUGAGGCUCGAAAGCGUGGGGAGCAAACAGGAUUAGAUACCCUGGUAGUCCACGCCGUAAACGAUGAUUGCUAGGUGUUGGUGGGUAUGACCCAUCGGUGCC
rnacentral:rRNA from 1 species